AGCAGCCGCGGUAAUUCCAGCUCCAAUAGCGUAUAUUAAAGUUGUUGCAGUUAAAAAGCUCGUAGUUGAAUUUCGAGAUCAAUUUGUCGGUCGUGCCUCGGUACGUACUGGCAUUAUUGAUUUCUCCCUUCUGAAGAACCGCGAUGUCAUUAAUUUGGUGUCGUGGGGAAUCAGGACUGUUACUUUGAAAAAAUUAGAGUGUUUAAAGCAGGCGCACGCUUGAAUACAUUAGCAUGGAAUAAUGAAAUAGGACGUUUGAUUCUAUUUUGUUGGUUUCUAGGAUCGACGUAAUGAUUAAUAGGGAUAGUUGGGGGCAUUAGUAUUCAAUUGUCAGAGGUGAAAUUCUUGGAUUUAUUGAAGACUAACUACUGCGAAAGCAUUUGCCAAGGAUGUUUUCAUUAAUCAAGAACGAAAGUUAGGGGAUCGAAGACGAUCAGAUACCGUCGUAGUCUUAACCAUAAACUAUGCCGACUAGGGAUCGGAUGAUGUUAAUUUUUUAAUGACUCAUUCGGCGCCUUACG
rnacentral:rRNA from 1 species